rnacentral:rRNA from 1 species
UACGUAGGGGCUAGCGUUGUCCGGAUUUAUUGGCGUAAAGAGCGUGUAGGCGGCCAUGUAGGUCCGGUGUGAAAACUCGAGGCUUAACCUCGAGAUGUCAUUGGAAACCAUUUGGCUAGAGUCCGGAAGAGGAGAGUGGAAUUCCUGGUGUAGCGGUGAAAUGCGCAGAUAUCAGGAAGAACACCAAUGGCGAAAGCAGCUCCUCUGGGACGGUACUGACGCUGAGACGCGAAAGCGUGGGGAGCGAACAGGG